rnacentral:rRNA from 1 species
AGGAAAAGAAACCAACAGGGAUUGCCUUAGUAACGGCGAGUGAAGCGGCAAAAGCUCAAAUUUGAAAUCGGCCNCCAGGUCGAGUUGUAAUUUGUAGAUUGUAUCUUGAGAGCGGAUUAAAGUCUGUUGGAACACAGCGCCUUAGAGGGUGACAGCCCCGUAAAAUCUAUUCUCAUUGUAAGAUACUUUCGAAGAGUCGAGUUGUUUGGGAAUGCAGCUCUAAGUGGGAGGUAAAUUCCUUCUAAAGCUAAAUAUUGACGAGAGACCGAUAGCGAACAAGUACUGUGAAGGAAAGAUGAAAAGCACUUUGAAAAGAGAGUGAAAAAGUACGUGAAAUUGUUAAAAGGGAAGGGUAUUGAAUCAGACUUGGUGCUGUUGUUCAACUGUGUUUUGGCACNGUGUACUCAGCAGUACUAGGCCAAGGUGGGGUGUUUGGGAGUGAAANAGAAGUUGGAACGUAACUCUUCGGAGUGUUAUAGCCUACUUUCAUAGCUCCUCAGGCGCCUCAGGACUGCGCUUCG